AAGGCAACUACAGUAGGGAGUGAGGGGUUCCUCAGAAGUCAUCUGUACCUCCCCCCCUCACUGAAGGGCAGCGGCACAUGAAGAAGGUAGAGAAAUGAUCCCUCAGCUACAGAAGACGACCUGUGAGAGGAAUGAGCUGUGUGGUUUCCUGGCCCAUUAUACAAAGAUUUGAACAACAGGAUCACUUUCAGGAAGCUCAGAUAUUCACCAUGGCAGUCAUUCAUCGCUAUGAAGAAAUGCAUUGGGUGCAUAGUCAUAUGUCCUUCGUGGCUUCGGUCUGAAUGGGAAAGAGUGUGCUAUUGAAGGCCAGUAGUCAGAGUUGGGUAAGAGUGUUCUUUAGCUCCUAUCAACCUAAGACAGACAUAUGUCAAAAAGCUAUGUUUGUCAUCCAUGACAGGGAAGAAGGAGCAAUAUAGACACCUAAGACAGGCAUGGUCGCCUAGCCAGUCUAUUCCCUAGACAGGAUUAUGGAAAACAAAUGAAUCUUGUGCCCCUGUCCAGCUAUUGAUAACUGUUCAUCUUUAAUAAACAAAAAGGGAGGGGUGAUUGUGCCUUUCCCUGAGCCUUGAGUAGGCUGAACAAAACCAGGAUGGUUUUACAACCUUGCUGGAGUCAUUUGGCCUCACAGCAUUUGUAAUUUCCUACAGGAUCUUUGAGGAGUUGACCUGCUGAGCUUGCUUUGCAACUCAAUCCAGCUGAAACAAAGGAUGGGUCUGUGGGCUUUCCCUAUAUAUCCCAGUGCUAAAUAUUAAACUUUGAGCC
rnacentral:lncRNA from 1 species